rnacentral:lncRNA from 1 species
UGAAGUGUCAGUCUGAGCACUAUUUUAAAACUUGUUCCAGGCUUAUUUCUGAAUAUCUAGUGAUAUUCCACAGGGCUUGGUGCUAGGGCUGGGGACCACAAAGUCACAGGAAACCCCGUCUCAUCCCUCUGGCUUCUUUUCCUCAGCUCUGAGGGGCUCUGAGGGGACCAGGCAGCGGGGAGCUGGCACAGUGCAAGGAGAGUACUGCAGGAAGAGAUACGGGAAUUUCUGGUGACAGACAGAAGGGGAGCACAGUCAGCGGGACCAGAAAAGCCAAUCUGUGAAGUCAACCAAACUUCUCAGGUGUCUCGGCGACUCUGCUUUGGCUCCUGCUCCACGUCUCGCCCAGUCUCCUCGAGCCUUGCUUCACAGCUCUUGGUAACUUCCUGUUUCCUUCCCUCUUCCUCUCAAACCAAGACAAGGUUUGAUCGCACCAAGACAGUGAGUCCCUUAUGCAUGAGAAACACAGCUGGCUCAGCCCUGGGACCCCAGGAGUGAAUCAGAACCACAGACCCAGAGAAUGUGGGAGCUCAGAGGGCCUUGGCAAUCACCUGGUGAGUUCAACCUCCUCAUUUCACAGAUGAGGAAGCUUUCUUCAGAUGUGUGUGCCUUGCAGGCUUGGCUGC